AGCGGCGAACGGGUGAGUAACACGUGAGCAACCUGCCCCGAAGACCGGGAUAACACCGGGAAACCGGUGCUAAUACCGGAUGUCCUCAUUGGACCGCAUGGUCCGAUGCGGAAAUGGAUUCCGCUUCGGGAGGGGCUCGCGGGCUAUCAGCUUGUUGGUGAGGUAACGGCUCACCAAGGCUACGACGGCUAGCUGGUCUGAGAGGACGACCAGCCACACUGGGACUGAGACACGGCCCAGACUCCUACGGGAGGCAGCAGUGGGGAAUCUUGCGCAAUGGGCGAAAGCCUGACGCAGCAACGCCGCGUGGGGGAUGAAGGCCUUCGGGUCGUAAACCCCUUUCAGCAGGGACGAAACUGACGGUACCUGCAGAAGAAGCCCCGGCCAACUACGUGCCAGCAGCCGCGGUAAUACGUAGGGGGCGAGCGUUGUCCGGAUUUAUUGGGCGUAAAGAGCUCGUAGGCGGCUUGACAAGUCGGGUGUGAAACCUCCAGGCUCAACCUGGAGAUGCCAUUCGAUACUGUCAUGGCUAGAGUCCGGUAGGGGACCAUGGAAUUCCUGGUGUAGCGGUGAAAUGCGCAGAUAUCAGGAGGAACACCGGUGGCGAAGGCGGUGGUCUGGGCCGGAACUGACGCUGAGGAGCGAAAGCGUGGGUAGCAAACAGGAUUAGAUACCCUGGUAGUCCACGCCGUAAACGUUGGGCACUAGGUGUGGGG
rnacentral:rRNA from 1 species